GCCUGGCUGGCUCAGUUGGUAGAGCAUGUGACUCAAUCUCAGGGUCAUGAGUUCAAGCCCCACGUUGGGCA
rnacentral:tRNA from 1 species